UCUUGAUUGAGAUCAUAAAAUGUCAGAGGCAGGAAAAAAGUUAGGUUUGGGAAAAAAGAGUGGGAUGAAGGCAAACGAAUCCCCAAACCCUAAGGCGAAGGGUGGUAAGCCAAAAUCCGAAGCAGUCGCAGCUCAUUCUUUCCCUCAUGAAGACAUCCAUACAGAUGAGAGGGAGAACAACAGUGCUGCUGAUCAUCUCUGGAGCAACAACAAAGUCACGGGCACAACCUCGUCUGGAGGACACACCAACAAAACCCGCAUAUUCGGAUCCGCAUCUAAAUAGUCUCAUGGUGGAUGAGGAUGACGGAUGACGCCAAGAUAUGUUUUGCUCCUUCCGUUUUCGUCUUUGUGUUGAUUUACAGUACUUUUUUUAUGUGGAGUGAUUUUGGAUUGAACGUUUCUUAUUUAAAAUAAAUGAUUUAGUUGUUUUGUAUCCUCUUUGUUCUAUAUGAAACUAUUACUGCA